ACUAAAAUGGUGAAAUUGGUAAACACACUAAGCUUAGAAUUUAGCGCCAUUAAAAGGUUUAGGGGUUCGAGUCCCCUUUUUAGUA
rnacentral:tRNA from 1 species